UUAAGUGACUAAGCGUACACGGUGGAUGCCCUGGCAGUCAGAGGCGAUGAAGGACGUGCUAAUCUGCGAUAAGCGUCGGUAAGGUGAUAUGAACCGUUAUAACCGGCGAUUUCCGAAUGGGGAAACCCAGUGUGAUUCGUCACACUAUCAUUAACUGAAUCCAUAGGUUAAUGAGGCGAACCGGGGGAACUGAAACAUCUAAGUACCCCGAGGAAAAGAAAUCAACCGAGAUUCCCCCAGUAGCGGCGAGCGAACGGGGAGGAGCCCAGAGCCUGAAUCAGUGUGUGUGUUAGUGGAAGCGUCUGGAAAGGCGCGCGAUACAGGGUGACAGCCCCGUACACAAAAAUACACAUACUGUGAGCUCGAUGAGUAGGGCGGGACACGUGGUAUCCUGUCUGAAUAUGGGGGGACCAUCCUCCAAGGCUAAAUACUCCUGACUGACCGAUAGUGAACCAGUACCGUGAGGGAAAGGCGAAAAGAACCCCGGCGAGGGGAGUGAAAAAGAACCUGAAACCGUGUACGUACAAGCAGUGGGAGCACGCUUAGGCGUGUGACUGCGUACCUUUUGUAUAAUGGGUCAGCGACUUAUAUUCUGUAGCAAGGUUAACCGAAUAGGGGAGCCGAAGGGAAACCGAGUCUUAACUGGGCGUUAAGUUGCAGGGUAUAGACCCGAAACCCGGUGAUCUAGCCAUGGGCAGGUUGAAGGUUGGGUAACACUAACUGGAGGACCGAACCGACUAAUGUUGAAAAAUUAGCGGAUGACUUGUGGCUGGGGGUGAAAGGCCAAUCAAACCGGGAGAUAGCUGGUUCUCCCCGAAAGCUAUUUAGGUAGCGCCUCGUGAAUUCAUCUCCGGGGGUAGAGCACUGUUUCGGCAAGGGGGUCAUCCCGACUUACCAACCCGAUGCAAACUGCGAAUACCGGAGAAUGUUAUCACGGGAGACACACGGCGGGUGCUAACGUCCGUCGUGAAGAGGGAAACAACCCAGACCGCCAGCUAAGGUCCCAAAGUCAUGGUUAAGUGGGAAACGAUGUGGGAAGGCCCAGACAGCCAGGAUGUUGGCUUAGAAGCAGCCAUCAUUUAAAGAAAGCGUAAUAGCUCACUGGUCGAGUCGGCCUGCGCGGAAGAUGUAACGGGGCUAAACCAUGCACCGAAGCUGCGGCAGCGACGCUUAUGCGUUGUUGGGUAGGGGAGCGUUCUGUAAGCCUGCGAAGGUGUGCUGUGAGGCAUGCUGGAGGUAUCAGAAGUGCGAAUGCUGACAUAAGUAACGAUAAAGCGGGUGAAAAGCCCGCUCGCCGGAAGACCAAGGGUUCCUGUCCAACGUUAAUCGGGGCAGGGUGAGUCGACCCCUAAGGCGAGGCCGAAAGGCGUAGUCGAUGGGAAACAGGUUAAUAUUCCUGUACUUGGUGUUACUGCGAAGGGGGGACGGAGAAGGCUAUGUUGGCCGGGCGACGGUUGUCCCGGUUUAAGCGUGUAGGCUGGUUUUCCAGGCAAAUCCGGAAAAUCAAGGCUGAGGCGUGAUGACGAGGCACUACGGUGCUGAAGCAACAAAUGCCAUGCUUCCAGGAAAAGCCUCUAAGCAUCAGGUAACAUCAAAUCGUACCCCAAACCGACACAGGUGGUCAGGUAGAGAAUACCAAGGCGCUUGAGAGAACUCGGGUGAAGGAACUAGGCAAAAUGGUGCCGUAACUUCGGGAGAAGGCACGCUGAUAUGUAGGUGAAGCGACUUGCUCGUGGAGCUGAAAUCAGUCGAAGAUACCAGCUGGCUGCAACUGUUUAUUAAAAACACAGCACUGUGCAAACACGAAAGUGGACGUAUACGGUGUGACGCCUGCCCGGUGCCGGAAGGUUAAUUGAUGGGGUCAGCGCAAGCGAAGCUCUUGAUCGAAGCCCCGGUAAACGGCGGCCGUAACUAUAACGGUCCUAAGGUAGCGAAAUUCCUUGUCGGGUAAGUUCCGACCUGCACGAAUGGCGUAAUGAUGGCCAGGCUGUCUCCACCCGAGACUCAGUGAAAUUGAACUCGCUGUGAAGAUGCAGUGUACCCGCGGCAAGACGGAAAGACCCCGUGAACCUUUACUAUAGCUUGACACUGAACAUUGAGCCUUGAUGUGUAGGAUAGGUGGGAGGCUUUGAAGUGUGGACGCCAGUCUGCAUGGAGCCGACCUUGAAAUACCACCCUUUAAUGUUUGAUGUUCUAACGUUGACCCGUAAUCCGGGUUGCGGACAGUGUCUGGUGGGUAGUUUGACUGGGGCGGUCUCCUCCUAAAGAGUAACGGAGGAGCACGAAGGUUGGCUAAUCCUGGUCGGACAUCAGGAGGUUAGUGCAAUGGCAUAAGCCAGCUUGACUGCGAGCGUGACGGCGCGAGCAGGUGCGAAAGCAGGUCAUAGUGAUCCGGUGGUUCUGAAUGGAAGGGCCAUCGCUCAACGGAUAAAAGGUACUCCGGGGAUAACAGGCUGAUACCGCCCAAGAGUUCAUAUCGACGGCGGUGUUUGGCACCUCGAUGUCGGCUCAUCACAUCCUGGGGCUGAAGUAGGUCCCAAGGGUAUGGCUGUUCGCCAUUUAAAGUGGUACGCGAGCUGGGUUUAGAACGUCGUGAGACAGUUCGGUCCCUAUCUGCCGUGGGCGCUGGAGAACUGAGGGGGGCUGCUCCUAGUACGAGAGGACCGGAGUGGACGCAUCACUGGUGUUCGGGUUGUCAUGCCAAUGGCACUGCCCGGUAGCUAAAUGCGGAAGAGAUAAGUGCUGAAAGCAUCUAAGCACGAAACUUGCCCCGAGAUGAGUUCUCCCUGACUCCUUGAGAGUCCUGAAGGAACGUUGAAGACGACGACGUUGAUAGGCCGGGUGUGUAAGCGCAGCGAUGCGUUGAGCUAACCGGUACUAAUGAACCGUGAGGCUUAACCUU
rnacentral:rRNA from 1 species